rnacentral:rRNA from 1 species
UACGAAGGGGGCUAGCGUUGCUCGGAAUCACUGGGCGUAAAGCGCACGUAGGCGGAUUGCUAAGUCAGGGGUGAAAUCCUGGAGCUCAACUCCAGAACUGCCUUCGAUACUGGCGAUCUUGAGUCCGGGAGAGGUGAGUGGAACUCCGAGUGUAGAGGUGAAAUUCGUAGAUAUUCGGAAGGACACCAGUGGCGAAGGCGGCUCACUGGCCCGGUACUGACGCUGAGGUGCGAAAGCGUGGGGAGCAAGCAGG